AUAAUGAACUUAUUACUACGUGCACUGUUAAACUUGGUACUUUAGAUGCGAUAAAGUUAUUACUGCGGUAAAUAACAUAAUUCGUACUUAGGUCAAAGUUGACCGCGACCCAUAAAAAUCUGUCGCAACUUUUUGCCCAUUUUUCCCGGAGUUGGCACACGGUAACCGGCACAAGUGAAACGCCUUUUUGUCGGAUUGCCUAUUACGAACGAUGUAUUCAAGUCUCCAGAAAAUGGCUCACCGGCGAAAUAAAAUGAUGCAAUCAGUCGAACUCAAACUCCAGAAGCGACCAAUUAUAAAACUCUCGUAACUCGUUAUCAAGCAUCUCCAUAACAAGCCAUACCAUAAAUCACGGUAUUCACAAAAAUGAGCAGUUCCAUUCGUCACAAACCACGACGUACCGUUCCAAUCUGAAGCUAGGGCAGUCCAAAUAUUUUCCUCUCACAUCCUCCAUCCUCGUUCCAGAAACCACUUCCGUCUUCUAUAAAAAAAAUUUAUUGAAUUAUACUACGUACUUUUUCUCUAAACAAGAAAAUAUAUUGCAG
rnacentral:misc_RNA from 1 species